rnacentral:rRNA from 1 species
ACGCACGCUGGCGGCGUGCUUAACCCCUGCCAGUCGAACGGAAAGGCCCUGCUUUUGUGGGGUGCUCGAGUGGCGAACGGGUGAGUAACACGUGAGUAACCUGCCCUUGACUUUGGGAUAACUUCAGGAAACUGGGGCUAAUACCGGAUAGGAGCUCCUGCUGCAUGGUGGGGGUUGGAAAGUUUCGGCGGUUGGGGAUGGACUCGCGGCUUAUCAGCUUGUUGGUGGGGUAGUGGCUUACCAAGGCUUUGACGGGUAGCCGGCCUGAGAGGGUGACCGGCCACAUUGGGACUGAGAUGCGGCCCAGACUCCUACGGGAGGCAGCGGUGGGGAAUAUUGCACAAUGGGCGGAGGCCUGAUGCAGCAACGCCGCGUGCGGGAUGACGGCCUUCGGGUUGUAAACCGCUUUCGCCUGUGACGAAGCGUGAGUGACGGUAAUGGGUAAAGAAGCACCGGCUAACUACGUG